CACGGGGGGAGCAAGCGUUGUUCGGAUUCACUGGGCUUAAAGGGCGCGUAGGCGGGCCGUCAAGUCGGGGGUGAAAUCUUUCAGCUCAACUGGAAAAGAGCCUUCGAUACUGACGGCCUCGAGGGAGGUAGGGGCGUGCGGAACUUCCGGUGGAGCGGUGAAAUGCGCAGAUAUCAGGAGGAACACCGGUGGCGAAGGCGGGUCUCUGGGCAAUAACUGACGCUGAGGAGCGAAAGCGUGGGGAGCGAACAGG
rnacentral:rRNA from 1 species